rnacentral:rRNA from 1 species
AGAGUUUGAUUAUGGCUCAGAACGAACGCUGGCGGCAUGCUUAAUACAUGCAAGUCGAACGAAGUCUUCGGACUUAGUGGCGCACGGGUGAGUAACAUGUGGGAAUCUACCUAGAGGUUCGGAAUAACUACGGGAAACUGUAGCUAAUACCGGAUGUGUCUGCAAAGAGAAAGAUUUAUCGCCUUUAGAUGAGCCCGCACUAGAUUAGUUUGUUGGUGAGGUAAAGGCUCACCAAGGCGACGAUGGGUAGCCGGCCUGAGAGGGUGAUCGGCCACACUGGGACUGAGACACUGCCCAGACUCCUACGGGAGGCUGCAGUCGAGAAUCAUCCGCAAUGGACGAAAGUCUGACGGUGCGACGCCGCGUGAAGGAAGAAGGCCUUCGGGUUGUAAACUUCUGUCACGGGUUAAGAAAUCCGUAUGGGUAACGCCAUACGGUUGACGAAACCGAAAGGAAGCCAUGGCUAACUCCGUGCCAGCAGCCGCGGUAAUACGGAGACCUCGAGCGUUACUCGGAUUCACUGGGCGUAAAGGGUGCGUAGGCGGUCAUGUGUGUCAGGUGUGAAAUCCCGGGGCUCAACCCCGGAACUGCGCUUGAAACUACGCGACUUGAGUCUCGGAGAGGGUAGUGGAAUUUCGGGUGUAGCGGUGAAAUGCGUAGAUAUCCGAAGGAACACCAGUGGCGAAGGCGACUACCUGGACGAGAACUGACGCUGAGGCACGAAAGCGUGGGUAGCGAAAGGGAUUAGAUACCCCUGUAGUCCACGCCGUAAACGUUGCGCACUAGGUCUUGGGGGGUCUACCCCCU